rnacentral:tRNA from 1 species
GCGCUUGUGAUGUAGUGGUCGCCAUGCCGCCGUGCCAAGGCGGAAGAGCGGGUUCGAUUCCCGCCUAGCGCU